CAAAAAUAAAUUAAUGAAUGUAUUUAAUUAAGACUCAAUUGGCAGCAAUGCGUGAAUUGGGUGGGACUGGAGAGAGGCAGAAGAUAGAAUUAUGAGGACAUUGUCUUGUUUUUUGUUUAUUUUGGAACAGGCAGAAGAGAUGGAGGAAUGAAUACAAGAGUUACGGGAUGGACAAAACAGGCAUAACUGAUUGAAUGGAGGCUUCCAAGUUGAAUGCUGUGGCUUUCAGAUGUCAAGGUGAAAGUGGACGCCAGUGAUCUGGAAAUGGGUCCUAUGUGGCAUUGGCAACCCCUGCUACAGUACCUGCAUAGGACAGAGAGAGGGAG
rnacentral:lncRNA from 1 species